rnacentral:rRNA from 1 species
AGUGAACGCUGGCGGUAGGCCUAACACAUGCAAGUCGAACGGCAGCACAGUAAGAGCUUGCUCUUACGGGUGGCGAGUGGCGGACGGGUGAGGAAUACAUCGGAAUCUACUUUUUCGUGGGGGAUAACGUAGGGAAACUUACGCUAAUACCGCAUACGACCUACGGGUGAAAGCAGGGGAUCCUCGGACCUUGCGCGAUUGAAUGAGCCGAUGUCGGAUUAGCUGGUUGGCGGGGUAAAGGCCCACCAAGGCGACGAUCCGUAGCUGGUCUGAGAGGAUGAUCAGCCACACUGGAACUGAGACACGGUCCAGACUCCUACGGGAGGCAGCAGUGGGGAAUAUUGGACAAUGGGCGCAAGCCUGAUCCAGCCAUACCGCGUGGGUGAAGAAGGCCUUCGGGUUGUAAAGCCCUUUUGUUGGGAAAGAAAAGCAGCAGGUUAAUACCCCGCUGUUCUGACGGUACCCAAAGAAUAAGCACCGGCUAACUUCGUG